rnacentral:rRNA from 1 species
UGCCAGCCGCCGCGGUAAUACGGAGGGGGCUAGCGUUGUUCGGAAUUACUGGGCGUAAAGCGCGCGUAGGCGGUUUGUUAAGUUGGGCGUGAAAUCCCGGGGCUCAACCCCGGAACUGCGUUCGAAACUGGCAAGCUAGAGUUCGGGAGAGGGUGGUGGAAUUUCCAGUGUAGAGGUGAAAUUCGUAGAUAUUGGAAAGAACACCGGUGGCGAAGGCGACCACCUGGACCGGAUCUGACGCUGAGGCGCGAAAGCGUGGGGAGCAAACAGGAUUAGAUA